AUGUGUGCGGAGUGUGUGCGUUUGCUUGCACAUGCAAGCAUUCAUGAUGGAUCCAGGGACCCAAUCCCUCUAUGGCUAUAUUCCUUAGAGCCCUGCCCUGGCUGCAGAGCCACCUGUGGUGUUUCAGUUAUGUGGGACUCUCCCUUCCCUCCACACCGUCUAGGGUAUCUGUGUUGUGACCAUUCCAUGGGACAUAACGUCCUCUCCUCUCUGUGUGUUCUUUCUUUUGUAGGAAACUCGGCCAGAGAGGCCCGGAGAAAGAGGACAGUCAUACUCUCCUUCUCAAACAAGGUACCUUGCGCAAACCUUCAUGAGGGAUCUCUUCCAGGGGAUUACCACCAGGAAAGAACUGGCUCGUCAUAUGGGAAUCCCAGAAACUCGAAUCCAGAUAUGGUUUCAAAACUGAAGAGCUUGGAACCCACAGCAGAGACAAAGCGGGCCCGGCAAUGGCUGGGCCCAAGGGCCAAGCAGCACAGCAGCCACGACUACUCCUGCUCCAGAGGACCGAAGGGCCCCACCCGCUGUUCAGAGCUCCUCUUCCCACUAUUAACCCUUCCCGCCAGAGGAGAGCAUUCCACAAUUGGAAGAGGCAAAAUUGAGACCCAGGGAUCCAGUGGUGAGGUCCCAGGGAAUCGCAAAGAAACCAAGGAACCACAGCGCCACCUACACAGCCAUCCGUAGCAAUGGAUUCUUUGGCCAGCCAGCUCUUGGUGGAUGCCUAGAUGUCUCCCGGUUGGUUGAGGGCCCCAGUGUCCCAGCGCCACCCACCAGCAGCACCGUGGUCAUUCUGCAGCGACCCAAGGGUCGGUGAGUGAAUGGGUGCCCCCGCUAGGCUGCACCCAUGCGCCCUCCUUCUCUUUCUGCUAAGACACAUGGUUCCUCUGAGCUCGACCAGGCUGGCUUGAGAUGCUGAGAGGCGACGGGAGGGAGGAAGGGCCGGACUGCCGGCUGAGGGCUUCAGCAGGGAGGGGGUGCUGGCAACAAAGAGCCCUCCUCUCCCUGCCCCCGCUGGAUGUGCUCGAGAAGCUAGGGGGCUGACGUGAGGCCAGCAGCGAUGUGGAGCCUGUGCGCCUGGCAAGCCCGCCCGGGGCUCCUUCUUCCUGGGGCCCGGGCGCGCCAGGACCCCUUGGUCUGGCAGAAUGGCGCAGGGCUGCUGACAUCUGGUGAGACAGGGUUCCCCUCCUGCACGCCAGGGCGAGACAGUAGCAAGCGGAAGGGCAAGGGUGUGAGCAGCCAGGCCGCGUCACCGGAGGGCCGCUGUGGCGGGGAGGUGUUCCACACUGACAGGCACCCUGGCGAGACCGGCAAGACCCAGGCUCCGGUGGGCCGGACCCUUGGCCUGAGACCGGCAAGACCCAGGCUCCAGUGGGCCGGACCAGUGGCCAGGGUCUGGCGGGAAGAAACCUUCAGCGGGAGGGGCGGGCACACCCUGGCUACAUCCCAGUGGGAAGUUAAAUGAGCAUGGGAGCCCGGGACAAGAGGCCAGAGUCCUUGCUGGGGAAAGAGCAAAGGGAAGGGAGUCAAGCCAUGAGAAAGCGGUUGUGCGGGUAGGUCCCUCCUGCUGGCUCUGAGGCUCUGACCUCCGGACACCCGCCCACAGCAGGCACCUUGAAACCGAGGGCAACGUGUCCGUGACGCAGCGUUUUCGGGAGACCUGCAGGGGUCUCCCUGGGGCUUGACGCUGAGUCCCAGGCGCGGGCUCCGCCCCCCCUCCCCUCCCCUCCCCCGACCCCUGCUCCUUCCCACUGUACCCCAACUCUCCCUGCCUCCUGCCCUCCCUCUCUCUCCCUCUCUCCCUUCACCCCCACUCUCUCCCUUUGCCCCGAACCACUCCCACCACCCACUUGCCCCCUCCCACCUUGCAUCUCCCAACCUUUCCACCUUUUCACUCCCCCUGUCUCCCGCUCCCCCUCCCUCUGCUGCUCCUGGCAGAGGGAAGGAGUUCUCCUGGGUGGACUGCUGCCAGGACUGGACCAGAAGACAGAAGAGCCAGACCCAAAGCACCCGGGCAGGGCACGGGGGUUUCCCUCUUGAGUCCACAGAAUGUUCCCUCUGAGGCAGCCUCUCGGUCACUGCCAUGCAGGGAUUACUUGAGCCUUCAGAUAAGGGUGUCCCCUGUUUGGGGGUGGGGCCCAGCUUCCCAAAGGUCCAGCGUUUUGUCCCCAGAGUUGUUGGUAGACAUCCCGGCGGGGUUCUCCCCUCUUCCCACACACCAAACCCCCCCCCCCCGGCUUCCCCGAGCAACACACCACCGGGGGCGGAAAGGCUGGNNNNNNNNNNNNNNNNNNNNNNNNNNNNNNNNNNNNNNNNNNNNNNNNNNNNNNNNNNNNNNNNNNNNNNNNNNNNNNNNNNNNNNNNNNNNNNNNNNNNUCAGAUAAGGGUGUCCCCUGUUUGGGGGUGGGGCCCAGCUUCCCAAAGGUCCAGCUCUCGGCUUUGUCCCCAGAGUUGUUGGUAGACAUCCUGGUGGGAUUCUCUCCUCUUCCCACACACAAAACCUCCCCCCACCCCUGCUUCCCAGAGCAUCCCAGGCAAGGAGACCUAAACGUGGAUGGGGGAGAAGGUGCCCCUCCCUUCCUCUCUCUCUAAGCCCCAGGGCCUGGGGAGCCUGGCAGCAUGUCGAGGAGGGCCUGGUAAUCCUCCUCACUGAGGGGUGCUUCCAGGGUGGCCUCAACUCCCUCGUCCCCCACAGGGGCCCCCGGAGGAGACCAGGGCAUGUCCUGGGUGGCCGUGGCAGCCAGGAUUUCCUCUAGGAGGCUGGGUGACUCAGGGAAGGCUGGGUGGGCCCCUGCAAUGACAGGAGAGGACCCAGGAAAAGGACCCGGUGAGCCCGGGAUGCCCGGGGCAGCCUGGAGCGCGUCUUGGAGGCUUGGUGCACCUGGGAGGGUGAGGUGUGCCCAUUCACUGGCGCAGGGCCCCAGGGAAGGCCCCGGCAUGGUGCGGAUGCUGGUGGCAGCCAAGAUUUCCUCUAAGAGGCUGGGGGUGCCAGCGAGAGCUGGUUGUUGUGCUGCAACUACAGAGGCCCCUGGGGAAGGCCCCGGAGAGGCGGGGACCCCUGUGGCUGCCAAGAGCUCAUCUAGGAGGCUGGGUGCGCCUGGGAGGGCAGGGUCCACCCCCUGGUGGUCUGCAGCAGCCCCAGGGGAAGGCCCCGGCAAGGCCAGGACGCCCACGGCCGCCAAGAGCACGUCGAGGAGGGCCCGCGGCCGCCAAGAGCUCGUCGAGGAGGCUCGUCGGGCUUGGAAGGCUGCGGGGCUGGGGCUGUGGCUCUAGCGGAGGGGCCGCGCCUUCACCGUAGGGUGACCCCGGCCAGCGCGGGAUGUGUGCCUCCGGCUGUGCAGGCGGCAGGAUGGCCCCUUGCCCAGGCUGCCCGAGGGCCGUGCCGGCAGGGGAGCUCACGGCCCAGGGACCUGCUACCUGGGCAGGAGGUGGUGGCUUCCCACUUGGCCAGAGAGCCCCCGGGCUGGGCUGGACCAUGAAGAUCAUCAAGGGCUGGCCCACACAGACCCCAGGGGCAGUCCCGGGCACCCAGAAGGCGGGGGCCCCAAACGGAGCAGCUGGGGCCGCCGAGGGUGGCAUGCUCUCCUGUGGCGGGGAGGGGCGGAGGGGAGGAGAGGUGCUCUGGACCGCGGGUGGGGUCCUUCGGUCCUCUGGAGCAGGAGGAGUCGUGGCUGCUGCGCCGCCGGGCCCGCUCGGGCUCUGCUGGGGGUGCCGAGCUCUUCGGUUUUGAAACCAUACCUAGGGGAGCAAAAAGGCAGACAGGCACGUCAGAAGUCGUGACCGUCCAGAUCACCGUGCCGGCGCCUGCGCGGCGCCCAUUCGACAGCCCGCCUGGCCGCCCGGCCUCUGGUCUGUGAGGCCCAGGGCGGCUCCCGCAGGGCCGUUUUCUGCAAACGCAUCCCUCGGCCCCUGGGAGACGAGGGGGGUUGCCCGCACGGGCCACAAGCGGCCCCAAACCCUCCACUCAGCCCGCCGGCUUUCGGCCCCCUCCCCCCAUGCCGCGGCCCCGGCCCCGGCCCCGGCCUGCGGGUAUCCAGCUCCAAACGCUCGGCAGGGCUCAACCCUCCUGACUCCUGGGCCCUUGCGCUGGCGGGAGGACUUACCUGGAUUCGAGGUUCUGGGAUUCCUGUCUGACAAGCCAGUUCUUCCCUGGCGGCAAUCCCCGGGAAGCGAUCCCUCAUGAAGGCUUGCACAAGGAUCCUUGUUUGGGAAGGAGAGAUGACUGUCCUCUUUCUCCGGGCCUCUCGGGCCAAGUCUCCUACCAAAGAGAGAAUACACCGAGAGGAGAGGACAUUAUGGCCCGUGGAACGGUCUCAGCACAGAUACCCUAGACGGUGGGCAGGGGAGGGGAGAGUCCCACACACCUGAAUCACCACAAGUGGCUCUGCACCCAGGGCAGGGCUCUAAGGAAUACAGCCACAGAUGGAUCCGGAGCCUGCAUCCAUUGUGGAUGCGUGCAUGCGUGGGUGCGUGUGCACCCUCCGCACCCAUGCGUGUUCCUGUGUGUCUCUUUCCUCCUCUGCCCUUGGGGCGGGCCUCAAAGGAAUCGAGCCACAGAUGGAUCCGGAGCCUGCAUCCAUUGUGGAUGCGUGCAUGCGUGGGUGCGUGUGCACCCUCCGCACCCAUGCGUGUUCCUGUGUGUCUCUUUCCUCCUCUGCCCUUGCCACUGAGUGCCCUGAAGCAUGCCCCUCGGCCAAGGUUGGUUGGGCAACGGGAGCCUAAAUUUCCCAAUGGGGGCUGGGGAGGGUGUGCAAAGGGAGACCCAGUGCUGCCCGCCCUCGCCAACUGGGUGCGUCGUGCCCCCUAUCUGGGACACUGAUGGGGGCGGCAGCAACCAGAUAGCCCUGUUUCCUCCUCUUACCCAUGCCACACCCCCAGCCACCCCCAACCCCCUUGGUUUUCCUGGGCCUCCCGUGGCCAUCCACCAGCAGAGAGAACUCUCUGGCAAGAUGGGGAGGUUUCGGGACCCCCUCUAGGGGACUUGCUUUUGGAGAACUCUAGCUAAGUUACCUGGAGAGGAAGACUGAGGUCGAGGAGAGGGUGUCAGUGGCAUGGGCGUGGACGUUGGCCCCGCUUCCCCUUCUUGGUGCACAUAUUCAGACGGCGAUCGGCUCUGCUUUAACUGUCUUCUGCGUUGAUUUUGAAACCAGACUUAGGGGCAAACAGAGAGAAUUCCUUCUCAGGAGAAAGGCUGCCAGGUGCUUUCAGCUGACUCGGAUCGGCAUGGAGAGCCUGAAAGGGAGAACAGGGGCAGAGAC
rnacentral:lncRNA from 1 species